AUUGAACGCUGGCGGUAGACCUAACACAUGCAAGUCGAACGGUAACAGGAAGCAGCUUGCUGCUUCGCUGACGAGUGGCGGACGGGUGAGUAAUGUCCGGGAAGCUGCCUGAUGGCGGGGGAUAACUACUGGAAACGGUAGCUAAUACCGCAUAAUGUCGCAAGACCAAAGAGGGGGACCUUCGGGCCCCUUGCCAUCGGAUGUGCCCAGAUGGGAUUAGCUUGUUGGUGGGGUAACGGCUCACCAAGGCGACGAUCCCUAGCUGGUCUGAGAGGAUGACCAGCCACACUGGAACUGAGACACGGUCCAGACUCCUACGGGAGGCAGCAGUGGGGAAUAUUGGACAAUGGGCGCAAGCCUGAUGCAGCCAUACCGCGUGUAUGAAGAAGGCCUUCGGGUUGUAAAGUACUUUCAGCGGGGAGGAAAAGAGGAAGGUUAAUACCUUUGCGCAUUGACGUUACCCAAAGAAGAAGCACCGGCUAACUCCGUG
rnacentral:rRNA from 1 species